rnacentral:rRNA from 1 species
GAGUUUGAUCAUGGCUCAGGAUGGAACGCUGGCGGCGUGCUUAACACAUGCAAGUCGAACGAAGCGCCUUAUUUGAUUUUCUUCGGAACUGAAGAUUUGGUGACUGAGUGGCGGACGGGUGAGUAACGCGUGGGGUAACCUGCCCUGUACAGGGGGAUAACAAUCAGAAAUGACUGCUAAUACCGCAUAAGACCACAGCACCGCAUGGUGCAGGGGUAAAAACUCCGGUGGUACAGGAUGGACCCGCGUCUGAUUAGCUGGUUGGUGAGGUAACGGCUCACCAAGGCGACGAUCAGUAGCCGGCUUGAGAGAGUGAACGGCCACAUUGGGACUGAGACACGGCCCAAACUCCUACGGGAGGCAGCAGUGGGGAAUAUUGCACAAUGGGGGAAACCCUGAUGCAGCAACGCCGCGUGAGUGAAGAAGUAUUUCGGUAUGUAAAGCUCUAUCAGCAGGGAAGAAAGUGACGGUACCUGACUAAGAAGCCCCGGACUAACUACGUGCCAGCAGCCGCAACG